UACGUAGGCGGCAAGCGUUGUCCGGAAUUAUUGGGCGUAAAGCGCGCGCAGGCGGUUUCUUAAGUCUGAUGUGAAAGCCCACGGCUCAACCGUGGAGGGUCAUUGGAAACUGGGGAACUUGAGUGCAGAAGAGAAGAGCGGAAUUCCACGUGUAGCGGUGAAAUGCGUAGAGAUGUGGAGGAACACCAGUGGCGAAGGCGGCUCUGUGGUCUGUAACUGACGCUGAGGCGCGAAAGCGUGGGGAGCGAACAGG
rnacentral:rRNA from 1 species